rnacentral:rRNA from 1 species
UUACACCGGUUUAAACUCAGAUCAUGUAAAAUUUUAAAGGUCGAACAGACCUAAUAUGAAAGCAUCUUCACCAACAAUAAAUUUUAAUCCAACAUCGAGGUCGCAAUCUUUUUCUUCGAUAAGAACUCUAAAAAAAAUUACGCUGUUAUCCCUAAGGUAAUUUUUUCUAAUAAUCUAAAUUCUAGGAUCAUUUAUUCAUAAAUGAAUGGAUUAAUAAAAAAAAAGUUAAUUCAAUUUUUUUGUCACCCCAACAAAAUAUUUUUUUAACUAAAAUAAUUUUUAAACCAAAAUUUCAUUAAAUUAAAAAAAUAUAAAACUCUAUAGGGUCUUCUCGUCUUCUAUAAAUAUUUAAGCUUUUUGACUUAAAAAUAAAAUUCAAAUUAAUUUUUAUAGAGACAGUAAUUUUCUUAUCCAACCUUUCAUUCCAGCUUUCAAUUAAAAAACUAAUGAUUAUGCUACCUUUGCACGGUUAAUAUACCGCGGCCAUUCAACUCCUCAUUGGGCAGGUUAGACCUAAAAUUAUUAUCAAUAGGCC